GUGAACGCUGGCGGUAGGCCUAACACAUGCAAGUCGAACGGCAGCACAGUAAGAGCUUGCUCUUACGGGUGGCGAGUGGCGGACGGGUGAGGAAUACAUCGGAAUCUACUUUUUCGUGGGGGAUAACGUAGGGAAACUUACGCUAAUACCGCAUACGACCUACGGGUGAAAGCAGGGGAUCUUCGGACCUUGCGCGAUUGAAUGAGCCGAUGUCGGAUUAGCUAGUUGGCGGGGUAAAGGCCCACCAAGGCGACGAUCCGUAGCUGGUCUGAGAGGAUGAUCAGCCACACUGGAACUGAGACACGGUCCAGACUCCUACGGGAGGCAGCAGUGGGGAAUAUUGGACAAUGGGCGCAAGCCUGAUCCAGCCACACCGCGUGGGUGAAGAAGGCCUUCGGGUUGUAAAGCCCUUUUGUUGGGAAAGAAAAGCAGCAGGUUAAUACCCCGCUGUUCUGACGGUACCCAAAGAAUAAGCACCGGCUAACUUCGUG
rnacentral:rRNA from 1 species